GACGAACGCUGGCGGCGUGCUUAAUACAUGCAAGUCAACUGAACUUGAGAUAGCAAUAUUUUAAGGGAGGUGGCGCACGGGUGAGUAACACGUAGGUAAUCUGCCUUUAGGUCUGACACAACCCCGAGAAAUCGGGGCUAAUAUCAGAUGAUGCAGCGGCUCGACAUCGAGACAGUUGUUAAACCUUCGGGGCCUAGAGAUGAGCCUGCGUCUGAUUAGGUAGUUGGCGGAGUAAAAGCCCACCAAGCCUGCGAUCAGUAGCUGGUCUGAGAGGAUGAUCAGCCACACUGGAACUGAGACACGGUCCAGACUCCUACGGGAGGCAGCAGUAAGGAAUAUUGGUCAAUGGAGGGAACUCUGAACCAGCCAUCCCGCGUGAAGGAUGAAGGGGCUCUGCCUUGUAAACUUCUUUUGCAUGGGACGAAAAAACUUAAUUAUUAAGGACUGACGGUACCAUGAGAAUAAGCACCGGCUAACUCCGUGCC
rnacentral:rRNA from 1 species